rnacentral:lncRNA from 1 species
GCUAAGCCAAGCUGAGGGAGUAGAAAUCAAACACGCCCCUAUUGGUGGCUACGGUUCAAAUUACAGAAAGCAGAUAGAAGUUCCUGCAGCAGAAGCAACCAUUGAAGCCACUGCUCAAGGAAUAGCCUCAAUGCUUUGCGCUCACGGUCCUGAAGUGGAGUGGAGGAUCUGCACUAUAUGGGAAGCUGCCUAUGGAUUGAUCCCUUUAAACUCCUCAGCCGUUGAUCUCCCUGAGAUCAUUGUCGCCACCCCACUGCAACCUCCCAUCUUGUCAUGGAACCUAUACAUCCCACUCCUCAAAGUACUCGAGUAUCUUCCACGUGGGAGUCCUUCCGAAGCAUGCUUGAUGAAGAUAUUCGUCGCCACGGUGGAAACAAUCCUCAGCAGAACUUUCCCGCCAGAGACUUCUAUAAAGAAAGCUAGAGCGAGUUUAGCCACGAGAUCAUCAGCGACCAAAAACCUCGCUAUGGCUGAGCUUCGUGCUAUGGUCCAUGCUCUCUUCUUGGAAUCAUGCGCUGGCGUGGAGAUAGCUUCGCGCCUGCUUUUCGUUGUGUUGACUGUUUGUGUUAGCCAUGAAGCGCAGUCUAGUGGGAGCAAGAGACGGAGAAGCGAAGAAGAUGCUACUGCAGAGGAGAAUCAAGACAAUCAAACUAGUAACCGUAAGAGUAGGAACGUCAAGGGACAAGGACCUGUGGCGGCGUUUGAUUCGUACGUUCUCGCUGCUGUAAUAAAGCCUCAGAUGUUUCAUCCAUGAACCGGUGCUGAUUGUCUUUCUCCUUAGGAUCAAGUCGUUGCUUAUGUCGAAUACUUUGGUCAGUUCACAUCAGAGCAAUUCCCUGAUGAUAUUGCUGAGGUACUUGUUCGUGUGUUUAUGUUGCCUUAUGAUUAGUCGUGAUUAUAUAUAUAUACUGAUGUACAAAUAUUUAUGUAUCAGUUGGUCCGUAAUCAGUAUCCAUCAACUGAGAAGCGGCUUUUGGAUGAUGUGUUGGGUAUGUGUGUGAGCUUCUCUAUCAAACACUUUAUGAUCCACGCUUCUUUGUUUUGAAUGUUUAUAUCUGAUUCUCUGUCUUGUUCAUGAAAACAACAGCUAUGUUUGUCCUCCAUCAUCCGGAGCAUGGUCAUGCUGUCAUCCUUCCGAUUAUCUCAUGUCUCAUCGAUGGCACCCUAGUGUACAGCAAGGAAGCUCAUCCCUUCGCCUCUUUCAUUUCUUUAGUUUCCCCAAAUAGUGAGGUAAAUAGUUUCUCAACACUGUCUUUCAUGGAAACUCUUUUUGGUAUGCUGACAAACAUGUGUGUUCACAAUCCUCUACAGAAUGACUAUUCAGAGCAAUGGGCUUUGGCGUGCGGAGAAAUCCUACGCAUCUUGACUCAUUACAACCGUCCCAUUUACAAGACGGAGCAGCAAAAUGGAGAAACGGAGAGCAAAGCUUCUACUAGUGGGUCUCCUACGCUUUCAGAGGCUAAGGCUGUAUCACCAGGACAGCAUGAAAGGAAACCGCUAAGGCCUUUGUCUCCAUGGAUCAGUGAUAUACUACUCGCUGCUCCCCUUGGUAUUAGAAGUGACUACUUUCGUUGGUAAGUAGAUUCUGUUACUUUGAUUUGUACUGUGCUUAAGCUUCAACUUAUAAUAAUUGUUUGUUUGUAUAUACAGGUGUAGUGGUGUUAUGGGUAAAUAUGCUGCUGGAGAGCUCAAGCCACCUACUAUUGGUGAGUUUCCAUCACCUCUGGCUACUACAAUGGGUUGUGAGUUACGUCUUAUAACACUUCUCUUAUUUUGCAGCUACUCGAGGAUCUGGUAAACAUCCUCAAUAUAUGCCUUCCACGCCAAGAUGGGCGGUUGCUAAUGGAGCUGGUGUCAUACUGAGUGUUUGUGAUGAUGAAGUUGCUCGGUACGAGACUGCUACGUUAACAGCGGUUGCUGUCCCUGCACUUCUCCUUCCUCCCCCAACGACAUCCUUAGAUGAGCAUUUAGUUGCUGGCCUUCCAGCUCUUGAGCCUUAUGCACGUUUGUUUCACAGGUAGUGUUUCUGAACACAUCCUUGUGCUUCCUGGAGUCAUAUGUUGUUCUCACUCUCUUGUUCUACUGUCAGAUAUUAUGCGAUUGCAACUCCAAGUGCUACUCAGAGACUUCUUCUUGGACUCUUGGAAGCACCACCGUCUUGGGCUCCAGAUGCACUUGAUGCUGCUGUACAGCUUGUGGAGCUUCUCCGAGCUGCUGAGGAUUAUGCAUCUGGUGUAAGGGUAAGCAUUUGGCUCCUACGAAAUAACUUUUGAUAUGUUAUUAAAAAAGGAUCAGCUCUGAUCACACACUCUCUCUUUUCUUUGAUGUAGCUACCAAGGAACUGGAUGCAUUUGCACUUCUUGCGUGCAAUAGGAAUCGCCAUGUCUAUGAGGGCAGGCGUUGCUGCUGACGCUGCAGCCGCUUUGCUUUUCCGCAUACUCUCGCAGCCGGCACUGCUUUUUCCUCCGCUAAGCCAAGCUGAGGGAGUAGAAAUCAAACACGCUCCUAUUGGUGGCUACGGUUCAAAUUACAGAAAGCAGAUAGAAGUUCCUGCAGCAGAAGCAACCAUUGAAGCCACUGCACAAGGAAUAGCCUCAAUGCUUUGUGCUCACGGACCUGAAGUGGAGUGGAGGAUCUGCACUAUAUGGGAAGCUGCCUAUGGAUUGAUCCCUUUAAACUCCUCAGCCGUUGAUCUCCCUGAGAUCAUUGUCGCCACCCCACUGCAACCUCCCAUCUUGUCAUGGAACCUAUACAUCCCACUCCUCAAAGUACUCGAGUAUCUUCCACGUGGGAGUCCUUCCGAAGCAUGCUUGAUGAAGAUAUUCGUCGCCACGGUGGAAACAAUCCUCAGCAGAACUUUCCCGCCAGAGACUUCUAUAAAGAAAGCUAGAGCGAGUUUAGCCACGAGAUCAUCAGCGACCAAAAAC